CUCUACAGUGAAUGGGUGCCGUCAGAAUGAAAGUCUGAACAGCUAAUAACAACAAUACAAUAAUCCACAAGUAAUCCACACCACUCCAGUCCAUCAAUUAAUGUCUUGUGAAACCAAAAGCUGCUUGUUUGUAAGAACCAAAUAAAUUAUUAAGAUGUUUUUAACUUCAAACCAUUGCUUACAGCUAAAAUAUGAGUCCACAAUUCAUAAUAAUGCUUCCUCCAGUGAAAAAGUCCAUCCCUUGUUGUCCUUUCACAUCAAAAUCCAACCACAUAUUUGUUUAGAGCUGUAGACUUCACUUGGUCUGUGCAUAUUUCUCUCCUGAUUCAGACCAGACAUCUUUUUUUUCACUGGAGGAAGCAUUAUUAUGGACAAUGGACUCGUGUUUUAGACGGAAGCAAUGGUUUGAAGUCAAAAUCAUCUUAAUGAUGGAUUUUUUUUUUUUCUUACAAACAUGCAACUUUUGGCUUCAAACAACAUUAAUUGAUGGACUGGAGUGGUGUGGAUUACUUGGGGAUUAUUGUGAUGUUUAUCAGCUGUUUGGACUCUCAUACUGAAGGCACCCUUUCACUGCAGUGGAUGCAUUGCUGAGCAGCUGAUGCUACAUUUCUCCAAAUCUGAUGAAGAAACACCCUCAUCUAGCAUGAGUAGAACCAAACCAACCACAGCAAAGCCCAAAGCCUCUCCAUCCUCACACUUUUACGGCCACCUUCAUUCAAAGUGUAAACAAAGAGGUCACCUGACAAUACCCUCAAAUACUGCUGUGCCUUCCCUAUUGACUUAGUGUCAGGCCUCCACUUGCCCUUUUGUUUCGGAGGCAAGUCUGCCGGAGCUGUGAGACACAAGGGCGAGCUGAAUCAAAGAAAGGUCAAAGUGAAUGAGAGGCUGACCACCUCGACACACACUGAGGGGAUAUCAAAGCUGCCACUACCGGCUGCAGAGAGGAGGAAAAGUCAAGUUUCUGUCUCACGUGCGCUGCUGUUCCUCAGAGAGAUCUUCAGAAGCCAGAGAUCUGCUGUGGAACGGUAAAUGGAGGUGGUGUUGGUCUGUGACAUGCGGCUUUCAUGCUCUCAGUGCUUUGAAAUUAAAAAAAAAGGCCCGAAACCACAUGUUACAGAAAGAAAUAAAGCUUGGUUCUGCCACAAGGGAAACCAACACAAACAUCAGGGCCAGUAAUCUGGACACAUCAAUAUAACUGUUUCAGUUGUGCUAUAAGCAAUUCUCUUGCAAUGGUCUCUGAAUUAAUGAAAUACUUGACUAGUAAUUCAUUCAUAUUUAAUUUAUAAACUGAUUAGCUAAUUCAAGAUAUUAAAUGUUCAUGAAGCUGAGAUUAAAGGCUGUUUUUCCAUAAUCCUGCUGAAAACUAAAAAAUGCUUAACAGAUGUUAAGCAGGCUGAACACAUUGUUACAUGCAAGUAUUCGUACGUAACAUUUACAUUUAUAAAAAUUUGAUGUGUAUAUUUGGAUAGACAUUGAAUUGGAGAUAUAGACAGCAUUAUUAUGUAAUUUUUUGAGCUGCUCUUUCAUCUGUAAAAUUAAUUAUAACUAUUUCUUACAUAGACACAACGUUUUUUUUUUACUUACACAAGCACAGUCCAAACAAUGAGGUAUUCCAUUGAAAGCACUCUUUGAUGUUACAAGUUUUAAAGUGUAGUCUUGUUUAAAAUGAUGUAAUCCUGAAACAUUAUGAAAUGUUAUCAAUUCUUAAUAAGCAAAUGUUUGAACUGAUGACAUUGAAAACAUUUUUACUCUAAUCGAUUAUAAAUAGAAACAAGCGAUUAAUUCCAUGAGUUCAAUAUUCAUAGAUGAAUUGUAAAUGUAUGUCUCGAAGUUAUUUACAUAUGCACAUGAAUUAGUUUUUAUAUGCAUUUAAAUACUGUAUGUCAGUAUGUUUCAGUGUCUGUGCAAGCGUAAGCAAACGUGUGUCCUACAACCACAUUUUUAUAAAAGUCACCCCAGAGUAUGAUGAGAGAUGAAUGCAAUCAAAUGUUUGGUAAUAAAGCAAAACAGAAAUAGUCAAGUAGUCCUGAGAUGCCAUGUUUUAAACAAAUUAAAUUAAGAUUAAGUUGUUAAAUAAGUUAAAUUAAGUUAAAUCAAAUUAAAUCAAUUGAUUUAAUCAUGACAUUUUUCUGUUCUAGCCUUGUUUUAGUAUCAUUGAAAUAAUAUAUUACUUUUAAUAUUUUGAAAUAGAUUUAAUUUUUAUAUUUUCUGUUUUAAUUUUUUUUUUGUUUUUGUCAUUUUUAUUAGUUUUUAGUAUUUAUAUUAUAUUUACAUAACUUUUUUAUUAUAUUUUAUUUUAUGCCAGUUAAUGUUUAGUUUAUUUCUAGUAAUGGUUUUUAAUUUUUUUGUAAAAACAAUUUUAGUUUCAGUUUCCAGUUACUGUUCAUUCAGCCUAAUGUGUCUUGUUUGGCGUGAAGUUCA
ensembl:lncRNA